CCCUCCCCUCUCCGCCUCCACCCUCUGAGUCUGUGUCGAUGCAAUCUUUCUGUUUGUUGUUAAAGCUCCAGUGUGCCACAUUGAGGAGGAUUUAUUGUUAUCACUGUUAUAAAUCACUGAUUAUCCGGUUGGACGUGCAACGAGAGAAGGAGAGGACUCAUGUUUCUGUGGAGGAUCAGCUGUCCUGCUGUUCUUUGUGUCAGGACGUCCUGAAGGAUCCAGUCUCUACCAGCUGUGGACACUGGUUCUGCCGCCAGUGCAUCACCUCAUACUGGGACCAGUCUGGUUCAUCAGUGUGGAGAAAGAUCUAGAACAAGACCUGGACUGCAGACAGCCAGUCAGACCAGCACUGUACAAAUUCUGUGAGUGGCUGAAGUCGCUGAUUCGGGACCAGCGUAACGUCCUGCUGACGGCGCUGCUGGGUCUGCUGUCCAUGGCGUGUUUGGGAAUAUCCCCCAGCACCGCCCUGCCCACCCUCCUCAUCCCCUUCACCCUGUGGAUGGCCAGC